rnacentral:rRNA from 1 species
GAAAACUAUCUUGACGUUAUUCAAUGAAUGAAGCCCCGGCUAACUAUGUGCCAGCAGCCGCGGUAAGACAUAGGGGGCGAGCGUUAUCCGGAAUUAUUGGGCGUAAAGGGUGCGUAGGCGGUUAGGAAAGUCUAUAAUUUAAUUUCAGUGCUUAACGCUGUCUUGUUAUAGAAACUACCUUGACUAGAGUUAGAUAGAGGCAAGCGGAAUUCCAUGUGUAGCGGUAAAAUGUGUAAAUAUAUGGAGGAACACCAGAAGCGUAGGCGGCUUGCUGGGUCUUGACUGACGCUGAGGCACGAAAGCGUGGGUAGCAAACAGGAUUAGAUACCCUGGUAGUCCACGCCGUAAACGAUGAGUACUAAGUGUCGGGAUAAAACUCGGUACUGAAGUUAACACAUUAAGUACUCCGCCUGAGUAGUACGUACGCAAGUAUGAAACUUAAAGGAAUUGACGGGACUCCGCACAAGCGGUGGAUCAUGUUGUUUAAUUCGAAGAUACACGAAAAAUCUUACCAGGUCUUGACAUGCUCUGCAAAG